GACGAACGCUGGCGGCGUGCCUAACACAUGCAAGUCGAGCGAAUGAAGUUCCUUCGGGAAUGGAUUUAGCGGCGGACGGGUGAGUAACACGUGGGCAACCUGCCUCAUAGAGGGGAAUAGCCUUCCGAAAGGGAGAUUAAUACCGCAUAAGAUUGUAGUACCGCAUGAUACAGCAAUUAAAGGAGCAAUCCGCUAUGAGAUGGGCCCGCGGCGCAUUAGCUAGUUGGUGAGGUAACGGCUCACCAAGGCGACGAUGCGUAGCCGACCUGAGAGGGUGAUCGGCCACAUUGGGACUGAGACACGGCCCAGACUCCUACGGGAGGCAGCAGUGGGGAAUAUUGCACAAUGGGGGAAACCCUGAUGCAGCAACGCCGCGUGAGUGAUGACGGCCUUCGGGUUGUAAAGCUCUGUCUUCAGGACGAGUAAUGACGGUACCUGAGGAGGAAGCCACGGCUAACUACGUG
rnacentral:rRNA from 1 species